rnacentral:lncRNA from 1 species
GAGUUGACACGGAACAGCAGUCCCCUUGGACAGCCGAACAGAAUUCAUGUGGGUCGCAUGGCCAGAAAUGACAUCCCCAAUGUUAAUGUCUUGAUAACUAAUUUACUGCAGCUAGCUAACAUUGGUGGGCAUCACUUUCUCAUGACGUACCGUUUGAUUGGCGAGAAGCACUACCGAAUCUUUAGUCAGGGGCUGAAUGUUUAGAGUUUUCCCGAUUUUUAGGACCACAAUUUUCAAGAUUUUAUUUCCAUUGUGUCCAUAAUUUUUCACUACUAGUUCAACUUACAAAAGUUGAGUUCCCAACUUACAAAAGCAAAACUAAAAGUUGGUACAGCUAAACUACAGCAAAAGAUUCCGACAAGACCCGGCCCUUCCUAUUCACUUGCCCAGGUACUCGCCUCUAUAAGGAAAACAAAUCUAAACGGUGAGCUUUCGUCCCAUGAGGUUCUAAGAAAGUCAUGCAACAAUAAUAUCAUAUUCAUGCGACAUAACCAUAGUUCACAACCAUAAUGCAAGUUCACAUUGGGUACUCGACAAUUAAGAAAUUACAUUGCCAUAUAAAAGGAUACGGGGCGUUCAAGAGCAUAUUCAACCAAUUUGAUCAGAAUUCCGCUGACACUCCAUCAACAUUUUUUCCAAAAUACUACUCCCUCUGUCCCGAAAUGAAUGUCGCACUUCGGGUCUUGAGUUUCUUUUCAACAGUAUCGUAUUUAGGUCUAAAUUCUAGCGCUACCCCUUCGGUGCAUUACUCCGUUGAGUGGCAGAAAGAAAAAGCAAGGAUGACAAGAUGUGUGGGACGCAUACUUUACAAAUGUGUCCAGCCAUUUUUUUGAAAAAGUAGCUUGCACGGCCAUUGUUUGCAUUUGCGGUGAGACUCACGCAUAUUAUAUCUCUGGCUAAAUACAGCAGAUUGUGAUCGAUACAAUCUUGAAAUAUGCUAUUAGUUUUUUUUUAACUUCGAAUAGGUUUUAAAAAUUUCAUUCACAGGAUCAACUUUCUCUUCUUUUUACAUAUAGUUUUUUUUUCUCGAAAGAUUCUGAUUCCUGUGUUGUCUUGAAUUGUCAUUGCCUAUUUGAAAUCCCUCUACAAACGAAAAAACUCUUCAUGUUCGACACGCAAAACUAACCCAUACUCCCUCCCUUCUCUUUUCUGCCGACCAAGCCCUUUGUCGCCUGAAAAAGACAACCGCUCCUUCUCCCUAUUUUCUUCCUCCUCCAACUCUUUCAACGAAAACUUGAUGGGAGAUUGGAAUACUAUUUGGAUAAACAUUACUAAUCUGGAGACGAAUGGUCGGUUUCAUUCGUGACUUCAUGAAUUUCAAUACUCCCCACUCGAACUUUAGUGUGGCCAUGUCUUUUUGGCGGAAUGUAUUUUCGGGCAGAAGAGAUGGGAGGCAUGCCGUGGAUGUUUAUUUUUAUGUUGAGAUUCAACCACAGCAAGUGGGAAUCAUGUACCUUACCGGUGACGAAAAAGUUGGUGUUUCGGAUCGAAAACGCAUUGGGAAGACGUCAAGUGGAGAGUAAUAUCAAUGGUGGCAUUUCCUCUGAACUGUUUGUUACGAAUAUGUAGGACGCUACCUCCUCCGGACUUAUUCAGAUAUGCAGUGAUUCGGGCAGAGUUGACACGGAACAGCAGUCCCCUUGGACAGCCGAACAGAAUUCACGUGGGUCGCAUGGCCAGAAAUGACAUCCCCAAAGUUAAUGUCUUGAUAACUAAUUUACUGCAGCUAGCUAACAUUGGUGGGCAUCACUUUCUCAUGACGUACCGUUUGAUUGGCGAGAAGCACUACCGAAUCUUUAGUCAGGGGCUGAAUGUUUAGAUUUUUCUCGAUUUUUAGGACCAGAAUUUUCAAGAUUUUAUUUCCAUUGUGUCCAUAAUUUUUCACUACUAGUUCAACUUACAAAAGUUGAGUUCCCAACUUACAAAAGCAAAACUAAAAGUUGGUACAGCUAAACUACAGCAAAAGAUUCCGACAAGACCCGGCCCUUCCUAUUCACUUGCCCAGGUACUCGCCUCUAUAAGGAAAACAAAUCUAAACGGUGAGCUUUCGUCCCAUGAGGUUCCAAGAAAGUCAUUCAAAAAUAAUAUCAUAUUCUUGCGACAUAACCAUAGUUCACAACCAUAAUGCAAGUUCACAUUGGGUACUCGACAAUUAAGAAUUUACAUUGCCAUAUAAAAAGAUACGGGGCAUUCAAGAGCAUAUUCAACCAAUUUGAUCAGACUUCCGCUGACACUCCAUUAACAUUUUUUCCAAAAUACUUCUCCCUCCGUCCCGAAAUGAAUGUCGCACUUCGGGUCUUGAGUUUCUUUUCAACAGUGUCGCAUUUUGGUUUAAAUCCCAACGCUACCCCUUCCGUGCAUUACUCCAUUGAGUGGCAAAAAGAAAAAGCAAGGAUGAUAAGAUGUGUGGGAUGCAUACUUUACAAAUGUGUCUAGCCAUUUUUUUGAGAAAAUAGCUUGCAGGGCCAUUGUUUGCAUUUGCAGUGAGACUCACGCAUAUUAGAUCCCUGGCUAAAUACAGCAGAUUGUGAUCGAUACAAUCUUGAAAUAUGCUAUUAGUUUUUUUUUUAACUUGGAAUAGGUUUCAAAAAUUCCAUUCACAGGAACAACUUUCUCUUCUUUUUUACAUAUAGUUUUUUUUUUCUCGAAAGAUUCUAAUUCCUGUGUUGUCCUGAAUUGUCAUUGCCUAUUUGAAAUCCCUCUACAAACGAAAAAACUCUUCAAGUUCGACACGCAAAACAAACCCAUACUCCCUCUCUUCUCUUUUCUGCCGACCAAGUCCUUUGUCGCCUGAAAAAGACAAUCGCUCCCUCCCCCUAUUUUUUUCCUCCUCCGACUCUUUCGACGAAAACUUGAUGGGAGACUGGAAUAUUAUUUGGAUAAACAUUACCAUUCUGGAGACGAAUGGUCGGUUUCAUUCGUGACUUCAUGAAUUUCAAUACUCCCCACUCGAACUUUAGUGUGGCCAUGUCUUUUUGGCGGAAUGUAUUUUCGGGCAGAAGAGAUGGGAGGCAUGCCGUGGAUGUUUAUCUUUAUGUUGAGAUUGAACCACAGCAAGUGGGAAUCAUGUACCUUACCGGUGACGAAGAAAUUGGUGUUCUCGGAUAGGAAACGCAUUGGGAAGACGUCAAGUGGAGAGUAAUAUCAAUGGUGGCAUUUCCUCUGAGCUGUUUGUUACGAAUAUGUAGGACGCUACCUCCUCCGAAAUUAUUCAGAUAUGUAGUGAUUCGGGCAGAGUUGACACGGAACAGCAGUCCCCUUGGACAGCCGAACAGAAUUCACGUGGGUCGCAUGGCCAGAAAUGACAUCUCCAAUGUUAAUGUCUUGAUAAAUAAUUUGCUACAGCUAGCUAACAUUGCUGGGCAUCACUUUCUCAUGACGUACCGUUUGAUUGGCGAGGAGCACUACCGAAUCUUUAGUUAGGGGCCGAAUGUUCAUAGUUUUCACGAUUUUUAGGACCAGAAUUUUCAAGAUUUUAUUUUCAUUGUGUCCAUAAUUUUUCACUACUAGUUCAACUUACAAAAGUUGAGUUCCCAACUUACAAAAGUAAAAUUAAAAGUUGGUACAACUAAACUAUAGCAAAAGAUUCCGACAAGACCCGGCCCUUCCUAUUCACUUACCCAGGUACUCGCCUCUAUAAGGAAAACAAAUCUAAACGGUGAGCUUUCGUCCCAUGAGGUUCCAAGAAAGUCAUGCAACAAUAAUAUCAUAUUCAUGCGACAUAACCAUAGUUCACAACCAUAAUGCAAGUUCACAUUGGGUACUCGACAAUUAAGAAUUUACAUUGCCAUAUAAAAGGAUACGGGGCGUUCAAGAGCAUAUUCAACCAAUUUGAUCAGAAUUCCGCUGACACUCCAUCCACAUUUUUUCCAAAAUACUACUCCCUCCGUCCCGAAAUGAAUGUCGCACUUCGGGUCUUGAGUUUCUUUUCAACAGUAUCGCAUUUUGGUCUAAAUUCCAGCGCUACCCCUUCGGUGCAUUACUCCGUUGAGUGGCAGAAAGAAAAAACAAGGAUGACAAGAUGUGUGGGACGCAUACUUUACAAAUGUGUCCAGCCAUUUUUUUGAGAAAGUAGCUUGCACGGCCAUUGUUUGCAUUUGCUGUGAGACUCACGCAUAUUAUAUCCCUGGCUAAAUACAGCAGAUUGUGAUCGAUACAAUCUUGAAAUAAGCUAUUAGUUUUUUUUUUAACUUGGAAUAGGUUUUAAAAAUUUCAUUCACAGGACCAACUUUCUCUUCUUUUUUUACAUAUAGUUUUUUUUUUCUCGAAAGAUUCUAAUUCCUGUGUUGUCUUGAAUUGUCAUUGCCUUUUUGAAAUCCCUCUAUAAACGAAAAAACUCUUCAUGUUCGACACGCAAAACUAACCCAUACUCCAUCUCUUCUCUUUUCUGCCGACCAAGCCCUUUGUCGCCUGAAAAAAUAGACAAUCGCUCCUUCUCCCUAUUUUCUUCCUCCUCCGACUCUUUCAACGAAAACUUGAUGGGAGAUUGGAAUACUAUUUGGAUAAACAUUACCAUUCUGGAGACGAAUGGUCGAUUUCAUUAAUGACUUGAUGAAUUCCAACACUCCCCACUCGAACUUUAGUCUGGCCAUGUCUUUUUGGCGGAAUGUAUUUUCGGGCAGAAGAGAUGGGAGGCUUGCCGUGGAUGUUUAUCUUUAUGUUGAGAUUCAACCACAGUAAGUGGGAAUCAUGUACCUUACCGGUGACGAAAAAGUUGGUGUUUUUGGAUCGAAAACGCAUUGGGAAGACGUCAAGUGGAGAGUAAUAUCAAUGGUGGCAUUUCCUCUGAGCUGUUUAUUACGAAUAUGUAGGACGCUACCUCCUCCGGAAUUAUUCAGAUAUGCAGUGAUUCGGGCAGAGUUGACACGGAACAGCAGUCCCCUUGGACAGCCGAACAGAAUUCACGUGGGUCGCAUGGCCAGAAAUGACAUCUCCAAUGUUAAUGUCUUGAUAACUAAUUUACUGCAGCUAGCUAACAUUGGUGGGCAUCACUUUCUCAUGACGUACCGUUUGAUUGGCGAGAAGCACUACCGAAUCUUUAGUCAGGGGCUGAAUGUUUAGAGUUUUCCCGAUUUUUAGGACCAGAAUUUUCAAGAUUUUAUUUCCAUUGUGUCCAUAAUUUUUCACUACUAGUUGAACUUACAAAAGUUGAGUUCCCAACUUACAAAAGCAAAACUAAAAGUUGGUACAACUAAACUACAGCAAAAGAUUCCGACAAGACCCGGCCCUUCCUAUUCACUUGCCCAGGUACUCGCCUCUAUAAGGAAAACAAAUCUAAACGGUGAGCUUUCGUCCCAUGAGGUUCCAAGAAAGUCAUGCAACAAUAAUAUCAUAUUCAUGCGACAUAACCAUAGAUCACAACCAUAAUGCAAGUUCACAUUGGGUACUCGACAAUUAAGAAAUUACAUUGCCAUAUAAAAGGAUACGGGGCGUUCAAGAGCAUAUUCAACCAAUUUGAUCAGAAUUCCGCUGACACUCCAUCAACAUUUUUUUCAAAAUACUACUCCCUCCGUCCCGAAAUGAAUGUCGCACUUCGGGUCUUGAGUUUCUUUUCAACAGUGUCGCAUUUUGGUCUAAGUUCCAGCGCUACCCCUUCGGUGCGUUACUCCAUUGAGUGGCAGAAAGAAAAAGCAAGGAUGACAAGAUGUGUGGGACCC